UGGGGAAUAUUGCACAAUGGGCGCAAGCCUGAUGCAGCCAUGCCGCGUGUAUGAAGAAGGCCUUCGGGUUGUAAAGUACUUUCAGCGAGGAGGAAGGCGUUGUGGUUAAUAACCGCAGCGAUUGACGUUACUCGCAGAAGAAGAACCGGCUAACUCCGUGCCAGCAGCCGCGGUAAUACGGAGGGUGCAAGCGUUAAUCGGAAUUACUGGGUGUAAAGCGCACGCAGGCGGUCUGUCAAGUCGGAUGUGAAAUCCCCGGGCUCAACCUGGGAACUGCAUCCGAAACUGGCAGGCUAGAGUCUUGUAGAGGGGGGUAGAAUUCCAGGUGUAGCGGUGAAAUGCGUAGAGAUCUGGAGGAAUACCGGUGGCGAAGGCGGCCCCCUGGACAAAGACUGACGCUCAGGUGCGAAAGCGUGGGGAGCAAACA
rnacentral:rRNA from 1 species